GACGUAGGGGGCCAGCGUUGUUCGGAAUUACUGGGUGUAAAGGGUUCGUAGGCGGUGUGGCAAGUCGGGAGUGAAAUCUCUGGGCUCAACUCAGAGACUGCUUCCGAAACUGCUGUGCUGGAGUGUGGGAGAGGCGCGUGGAAUUGCAGGUGUAGCGGUGAAAUGCGUAGAUAUCUGCAGGAACACCCGUGGCGAAAGCGGCGCGCUGGACCACUACUGACGCUGAGGAACGAAAGCGUGGGGAGCGAACAGG
rnacentral:rRNA from 1 species